AUUGAACGCUGGCGGCAGGCCUAACACAUGCAAGUCGAACGGUAACAGGAAGAAGCUUGCUUCUUUGCUGACGAGUGGCGGACGGGUGAGUAAUGUCUGGGAAACUGCCUGAUGGAGGGGGAUAACUACUGGAAACGGUAGCUAAUACCGCAUAACGUCGCAAGACCAAAAAGGGGGACCUUCGGGCCUCUUGCCAUCGGAUGUGCCCAGAUGGGAUUAGCUAGUAGGUGGGGUAACGGCUCACCUAGGCGACGAUCCCUAGCUGGUCUGAGAGGAUGACCAGCCACACUGGAACUGAGACACGGUCCAGACUCCUACGGGAGGCAGCAGUGGGGAAUAUUGCACAAUGGGCGCAAGCCUGAUGCAGCCAUGCCGCGUGUAUGAAGAAGGCCUUCGGGUUGUAAAGUACUUUCAGCGGGGAGGAAGGGAGUAAAGUUAAUACCUUUGCUCAUUGACGUUACCCGCAGAAGAAGCACCGGCUAACUCCGUA
rnacentral:rRNA from 1 species